rnacentral:rRNA from 1 species
AACGAACGCUGGCGGCAUGCCUAACACAUGCAAGUCGAACGAGACCUUCGGGUCUAGUGGCGCACGGGUGCGUAACGCGUGGGAACCUGCCCUUAGGUUCGGAAUAACUCCCCGAAAGGGGUUCUAAUCCCGGAUAAUGUCUUCGGGCCAAAGAUUUAUCGCCUUUGGUUGGGCCCGCGUUGGAUUAGCUAGUUGGUAGGGUAAACGCCUACCAAGGCGACGAUCCAUAGCUGGUCUGAGAGGAUGAUCAGCCACACUGGGACUGAGACACGGCCCAGACUCCUACGGGAGGCAGCAGUGGGGAAUAUUGGACAAUGGGCGAAAGCCUGAUCCAGCAAUGCCGCGUGAGUGAUGAAGGCCUUAGGGUUGUAAAGCUCUUUUACCCGGGAUGAUAAUGACAGUACCGGGAGAAGAAGCUCCGGCUAACUCCGUG